rnacentral:rRNA from 1 species
UACGUAGGGUGCAGGCGUUAAUCGGAAUUACUGGGCGUAAAGCGUGCGCAGGCGGUUUCUUAAGUCAGAUGUGAAAGCCCCGGGCUUAACCUGGGAACUGCGUUUGAAACUGGGAGACUUGAGUGUGGCAGAGGGGGGUGGAAUUCCACGUGUAGCAGUGAAAUGCGUAGAUAUGUGGAGGAACACCGAUGGCGAAGGCAGCCCCCUGGGUUAACACUGACGCUCACGCACGAAAGCGUGGGGAGCAAACAGG